rnacentral:lncRNA from 1 species
GUGUCUUUCGCCUCAUUUUUUCGUAAAAUCCAAUCACAAAGUUCGUGCGAUAAAAAGUUGGAAAAAAAACAUUACAAUAAUUGCCGGACCAAUGUAUGGUAGGGACAUGCAAAUACGGACUGUCAUACAGAAAACAGCCUAUAUUACAUACAUUACAUAACCUUGAUGUUCAUAUAAACCCAAUACAAAGGCUAUUUUAAUACUCAGCUAUCCAAAAAUGAAUUUUAUUGCACACUAGCUCUCAUAUUUGAAAAAUCCACAGGGGCCAAAAUGCGAAACUACACACCUAACUGUGGAGUGCUACCUUA